CCUCCCCCCAGUUGCCUGGCACUCCUGCACAUCGCCCCCUGCCUCCGUUCCGUCUGCCCGUCUCCCGUCUGGUACCGAUUAAACGCUCGCCGCCGGCCUCGUACGAGCUCCUCCAGCGCAGCCGCCCUCCGCCGCCCACGAGUCGCCUUCGUACGAGCCCACCCAUCGUAGCGCUUGCGGAUCUCCCGCAGCUCGAGCUCGCGGCUGCAGGCGCCCGGCCGGAGGGGCUCCUCGGAGUCUGCCAUGGAGUCCGGCCGAGGUGCACCGCCCGUCCGCGAUUCGCCGCCGCCCGUCCGAGAUUCGCCACCGCCCAGCCUCACCACCCUCAUCCCGGCCACCGACUUUCUCAAAAUGGAUGUGUUGCUUCAGCUGGCUUGUGAAAGUGCUGCUUAACUGGUGGGAAGAACACCAGAAGAUGUCCAGUCUUUGUUCAACUUGAAAUCUGUUGUGAGCCCAUCGGAGGAAGCUGAGAUCAGAAAGAAGAACCAAUGGGUGUUCGAGUGAUAACUAGGCAACCAAGAUUUGUACACAUUGCCUGGCCUGCAAAUCAAGAUUUGUAAACUAGUGAUUCCAAUUUAGUUACAGAGAAUAGUAUCAAGAUUUAGCAGCUGAGAUUGACACUGAUGUACGGAUUUGUAAUCUGAAAAUGAGAUUGAAUUGUGUUGACAGUUUGAUACAGGUUCAGAUUGAGUGAACUUAGAUAAUGAGAUUGAGUCAAUUUAAUAUUUCAAAAAAAAAAGAGUCAAUUUAGGUUCAGUUUCAUGUAUUGUCAAAUAUUGAUGGCAAUUUCCUUAAUGCAAUUUCGAUUUGCAGUGUA